GAAAAAGCAGGGAUUUGUUGCCUUAUUGUGAACAUAUCUCUCGUUGAUGUCAGGGAAAUUGUAGUGAGUCAUUGUUAUUGGGUGAACUUCUUUAAAUCACUUUAUUAACAGAAAGUUCAGUAAAUGAUGAUACAUUA